rnacentral:rRNA from 1 species
AACUAGGUAACCUGCCCAUGUGUCCGGGAUAACUGCUGGAAACGGUAGCUAAAACCGGAUAGGUAUACAGAGCGCAUGCUCAGUAUAUUAAAGCGCCCAUCAAGGCGUGAACAUGGAUGGACCUGCGGCGCAUUAGCUAGUUGGUGAGGUAACGGCCCACCAAGGCGAUGAUGCGUAGCCGGCCUGAGAGGGUAAACGGCCACAUUGGGACUGAGACACGGCCCAA